UUCAGAAUAAGUGGCGCACAUAGUGUUUAGGAAACAGGCCAACAAUUGUAUGCCAUGUAUGCAUAAGUUAUUUGGCCAGUCUCUCUGACAAAUAGUUUUGACCUGUUGCUGUUAGCAUCGCUCAAAUUUUACUACUCUCCUCGAGCCUCUCUUUGCAAAUGAAGAAUAAGUCCCACUUUUCGGCGGUUUUCUAUCACUGGAUGGUUGCGGUUCUUCUCUUGCCUCAAAGACAAAUUCGCACCGGUGGAGUAGGCGCUCAAGGGAAAUGUAUUACAUCAAGUGCCACUGAAAAUAUUUCACGGAGCGCAACUGCUUCAGGUCCGACAAAAGGAACAGUCAAGGUAGGUGCCGUUGUCAGUGCGGAAUAUGCUUCUUCAUUUGCGGAAAUGGCUUCUCACGAGAACAAGCAACUAUUUGAGGAGUUGCGCUUCUUAUUU